GAUGAAUUCUUCCGCUCCUGGGGAUUUGGAUCUAAUCCGCACAAAUUGUCAAAAUUGACAAUUUUAAUGUAGAUGUGAUGCGUUUGUAAUUUAACGAUGUAAAAUAAUCCAAAUCUGAUAAAAUUUUUGUAGAAAAUUUUUUUCACUAUUUAGAGUAAGAUCAGUACCUCUGAUCUUAAAUUCAAGUCUUUUAUAAUCAUUUUUUAUGAAAUUUUUAUUUUCAGCCGUUUAUUUUUAAACUAUUCGUUUGAUAGGUAAAUAAUCUCAAAAAAUUACAAAAUUUAGUUACCAAAUAUUUUUAAUAGUGUAGAUCAAGUCUAACGGAGCCAAUCGUCGAUUUGAAAGCCGCAUCAUUGAAAACAAUGAUGCUAUAUAUAUAUAUAUAUAUAUAUAUAUAUAUAUAUAUAUAUAUAUAUAUAAUUCUGUUACUAUCAUUUUAGGAAGACGGAAGCUUUCGUCCUCCUAAGUCGAUUUAAAUGAUAGGAAUUCCGAAUCAAUGAUCGGAACCGUCAAAAUUGAUGUAGAGUAUUUAAAGCGUUUAGAAACUAAAUUUAAUAAAUUUUAAAAAUUGUUAUCAAGCUCAUCGAAGAGUUAAAAAAUAAACAGUAAAAAACGAAUAGCCUUGUGAAAAUAUAUAUUAGAUUUUCUUAAUUUAUGAUCGGAAUUAUCAAAAGUUAUAUAAGCAUAAUAAAAAAAAUUCUAUCAAAAAUUCAAGCGUUUUGAAUUGCUCUAUACUGUUAAAGAAAUAAACGGCUGAUAUAGACCGUCAUAAAUUGUCGAUUUUAUGAUUUUUUGAUCACUACGUAAAUAAUUUUUAAAAUUUAUAAAAUUUAGUUUUUAAAAGAUAAACGAAGCAGAAAGUUUACUAUCUUUCUCUACAAAUA
rnacentral:lncRNA from 1 species